GUAAGAGUAAAUUUAUUAUGGAGCCUUCGCGUAAGAGAGUAAGGAGCAACCCAGAGAAAAAAAGGACUACUGGGAGAAAGCGCAGAGUGCAUUUUAAGGGCAAUCAAUGGACUGCAGCUCCUUCUAAUCCAAAAUUGACAAGAGCUCAAGAAAGAUCUGCUUUCGAAGCAGCUCAAUUAGUUCAUUCAGCUUCAAAAUUUAAACUCCGCUGUAACAAUUCUGAUGUUGAAGCUAGCCCAGCUCAAUACCGGUUGAUCGACUUUAGCCUGUUACUUCCUUUUCUGAAACAAAAUGUUUUCUGUAAAUGUGGUGAUAAGUUUAGUAUUGUUGAGAAUUCUGUUCGUGGCCUUGGAUUUGAGCUCAACUUUAACUGCAAUAAUAAAAAGUGCCAGUUUUCGUCAAGUGUGUUGUCAAGCAAGCAAAUUGGACCUAAAAAAAAUUUAUAUGAAUGCAACCGAAGAUCAAUUCUUGCUAUGCGCACUAUAGGAGUAGGACUAACAGGCCUGGAAUCUUUUUGUGCAGUAAUGGACUUACCUCAGCCAGUUGCUCAAACAAGUUAUCAACUAAUUAAUGAUGCCAUUGAAGUUGCUGCAGAGACGAUAGCCACAGAUUCCAUGCACCGAGCUGUUACAGAAGAAUGUCAACGUACCCCUGAAUCUCAUCCUGGUCUCUCUGUUUCUGGUGAUGGAACUUGGCGUACACCAGGGUUUACAUCACUUCAAGGAGCUGCCAGUCUAAUAGGCCAUUAUACUGGAAAAGUUGUAGAUGUAAUCACCAAAAAUAGUUUCUGUCAAGCCUGUAGAAAAUGGGAAAAUAAAGAUAAAAGUUCAGAAGAGUACUAUGAAUGGUUCGAAGAGCAUAAAGAAGUUUGUAAAGUCAACCAUACUGGCAGUGCUGGUAUGAUGGAAGUAGAUGGAAUAGUUGAGAUGUUUCAAAGAUCAGAAGAUUUGCAUGAAGUAAAGUAUAAAAACUACAUUGGUGAUGGUGAUUGCAAAGUUUACGCUAAGAUUGAAAUAGUUAAACCUUAUGGAAAGAAUUUUAAAGUAGAAAAAAAAGAAGAUAUUAACCACGUUGGAAAAAGAAUGGGAACUCAUUUACGCAACAUAAAGAAGAGAUUUGGAAGAACCUUGCUAAGUGAUGGGAAAACAAUAGGUGGAAAAGGAAGAUUGACAGCCAAAGUGAUAGAUCAGCUGUCAUCGUACUACACUCAAGCGAUUAGAAGAAACACUACUGUCACUAGCAUGAGAAAUGAUAUAUGGGCCACUUUCUUUCACAAAAAGUCCACUGAUAAAAAACCACAACACCACUUAUGUCCAGCUGGAGCAACUUCUUGGUGCAAAUGGCAGAAGGCCAAAGCACAGGGCACUUUAAAAAAAUUCACGCACAACAGUUCAAUACCUGAAGCAAUUAUGGAUGAAAUAGAAAAGACCUACGAAGAGCUCUCCAAGCCAGAACUGUUGGUAAAAUGUAUUGGAGCAUUUUCUCAGAACGUCAAUGAAUCCCUGAAUCAUUUACUGUGGAAGUAUGUACCAAAAAAACAGUGGAGUGGUGGUACUAUUUUGAACAUUGGAGCCUUCAUAGCAGUGUCCACAUUCAAUGAUGGUAAAACUGCUCUGCUGAAAAUUAUGAAAGAAUUAGAUAUUCAGCCAGGCCCAAACGCAAUUGAAUUCAUGAAACAAAGUGAUGAUAAAAGAAUUUACCAGGCAAAUAUUCAAGCUGCAUCAUCUUCUAAGCAAGCGAGAUCUGCUAGAUUGAAAAGAAGACACAAUGAUCCCAACGAUGACAGUUAUGUACCUGGUGGUCAUUGAAGUUAUCGCUCCAGCUAUUUUAACAGCAAACUUUGGGAAGAUUCAUCCAAAAAAAGUUGGUACUUUAACCUGGAAGUCAACACAAAGCAUCAUUCAUCAAAUUUACAUAUGAAAAUAGAAUUAGAGAAUGCAAAUACUUAUCUGAUUGUACUGGACUUUCCGAUUCACUUCGCCAGUGAACCGGCUAACGAAAUUUGUCGAGGUUAGCGCGUGAAUACAGCAAGGCGCCGCGAGAGAGACAGAUAUAGAGCAGACAGCUAAAAGCACAUGUGUACUAAUUGACAGAUGAUGGUUCAAAAUAUAACUUGUUGAUUAUUUUCAUGUGUAAAUAUUAUUGAAUGAUGUGUAGUGUAGUGUAAGAUAAAUAAUCCAGUAAAAUUUAUUUGUUUUAAUUAAUUUGUGUCUUAGUUUUUUGUGAAAUCAUAAAGUUUACAGUUUAUUUCAAAGUGACAUUUUCAUCUUGCACAACAUUUGAUUGAACCAUAACAAUUUAAAGAUAUAGAAGUUCAUUGCAGAAAUUAUUGUUGUAAUGUUUGUUGAAAAAGUAUUGUUCAUAGUAGUUUUAUAAAUGCCAACAUGUUCUUUCUUACAAUAAAAGUUACUUGUUAGUGA
rnacentral:misc_RNA from 1 species